rnacentral:lncRNA from 1 species
CUGGGUGUGCUUUACGGACAAGCGCACGACAAUGACGUAGAGAGCAUAGCAACCACCCUGGGAGGGCCUAUGAGCCAUAACAACCAGUUGACCAAUCAACACAGGGCAAGCCCUCCAAGCCUGGAGGCACACCAAUCCUGAGCCUGUGCGUACCCCUAGACACUCCCCUUACGCUGCCCUAUAAGAUCUUUUGGGAGCCCGUUGGAGCCGUCUUUUUCUAGCCGUCUGCCAUGGCGGGUGGGUGAAAGACCCGAGCUAACAUGGGGUUAGUUCGUUAAAUUACAAUAAAGCCUCGUGCAGUUUGCAGCAAGCUCUCGAAUCCGCCUGGUGAUUGGGGUGACCGCGAACCUGGCCUGAGACCCCGGAUACUUGAGUUUUCGGGGGUCUAACAUUUUGGGGGCUCGUCCGCGAUUUGCGACCACCCUUCACCUGAGUGGAUUCGAUCUUGGAGUUUAUAAUGUCAGACAGACUGCCAGAUCCGGACAGUGACCCAAAGUCUCCAAAGAAGAUUACGAGGCACCUCAGUUCCUGCACCUGGACCAGUGAGCGAGAUGCUCAGAUGUGAAACCUGCCGCCUGCCAGAACCUGGCCGAGAAUGUGGACAAAGCUGCUGGACACUGGAAAAUUGAUUGUACCCCUUUGCCUAGACAAAACAAGGUCAGUCUUUUCCAUGUCCCUCUUCCACAGAGAGAAAAAAAACUCUCACAGUAUAGGCCUGGCGAAGAUUGCUGGUCUUUGAGACACCUGCCUCCAGCGGUAAUGGAGAAACUUGGGUGUGGCUAACUGUAUAUAGACUGGCUUCUGUCACUUUUUAAUAGAUUCGGACAAAAUAUACCCUUCUCAGAUCUCUGAAAUAUUACUGGUUGUCAGCUUGACAGCAUCAGGCAGUCAGGUCCACUAUAGACUAGUCAGUAUGUUAGCUGAUAAAAUAGUAACUAUCUACUGUUCAGGCACAAGCUCAAGGUUUUUAAGUUUAUUUUGGUUGUCAUCUAAGUACAAACUUAAAGGGCUUUUCAUCAGGCCAAAGGCACCUCUGUCCAAUCCAUACCUGGCUCUCUGGACAGAAGAGAAAUGUACAUGCUUAUAGCCCAAAUCUGUAGAUUUUGCUAAAUAUGUUCCUGCUGUUUAAACAGAUAUCCAAAUAUCUGCUUUUUCUACACUGUGGGCUUCAGAAAAUAAGUUUUAACCUCUGUUCCUAGUUUAAACAUGUCUUAAACAGGUUUCUGCUUCUGGCUGACAUCUGAGUAUCAGUUGCUGACUACAGGCUGUUCUAAGUAGACUGCGAGCCCUAAACUUGCUGUGGAUGUGAACCAGUUCAGCUGAUAUGGACACCCCCUGUCUCUGCAACAGUGUCUGCUAACCAGAAGCCCCUGAUGAAUUCCCCAUUGCCUAAAUUCCUUUUUGCUUUUGACUAGCAUUUCAACCUUCUGGGGUCCCUAACUUCGUCCCAAAGUCAGCAGGAAGCAGUUUGGAAAAGAAUUUCGCCGUCCAUUUUCCCUGGUUAAAAUGCUAAGUCAAAAGGAACUCCCUUACAUGGGGAUGCCAAUAUCUAUCACUCCCUGAUGGGGAUGCUAGAGAGACAGCAAUUCCAUGAUUGGAAUUUCCAGAAAAGAAAAUGGGGGAAUGAAGGAACCGGCUUCCCUUUUGGCAGCCAUAAUGGUUAAACAUGUGCCUUUAUGACCUUGUCCUAGAAACCAGAAAGUCAGAUGCCUGUCUCGUGACAAGGAACCAAUCAGAAGUUAGCUGGUGGCGCUAUGCUUUACGACCCUGGGUGUGCUUUACGGACAAGCGCACGACAAUGACGUAGAGAGCAUAGCAACCACCCUGGGAGGGCCUAUGAGCCAUAACAACCAGUUGACCAAUCAACACAGGGCAAGCCCUCCAAGCCUGGAGGCACACC